AGCGAACGCUGGCGGCAUGCCUUACACAUGCAAGUCGAACGGCAGCAUAGGAGCUUGCUCCUGAUGGCGAGUGGCGAACGGGUGAGUAAUAUAUCGGAACGUGCCCUAGAGUGGGGGAUAACUAGUCGAAAGAUUAGCUAAUACCGCAUACGAUCUAAGGAUGAAAGUGGGGGAUCGCAAGACCUCAUGCUCGUGGAGCGGCCGAUAUCUGAUUAGCUAGUUGGUGGGGUAAAAGCUCACCAAGGCGACGAUCAGUAGCUGGUCUGAGAGGACGACCAGCCACACUGGGACUGAGACACGGCCCAGACUCCUACGGGAGGCAGCAGUGGGGAAUUUUGGACAAUGGGGGCAACCCUGAUCCAGCAAUGCCGCGUGAGUGAAGAAGGCCUUCGGGUUGUAAAGCUCUUUUGUCAGGGAAGAAACGGUGAGAGCUAAUAUCUCUUGCUAAUGACGGUACCUGAAGAAUAAGCACCGGCUAACUACGUGCCAGCCGCCGCCGUAA
rnacentral:rRNA from 1 species